GACGAACGCUGGCGGCGUGCUUAACACAUGCAAGUCGAACGGAAAGGCCCUGCUUGUGGGGGGUGCUCGAGGGGCGAACGGGUGAGUAACACGUGAGUAACCUGCUCUUGACUGUGGGAUACCUUCAGGAAACUGGGGCUAAUACCGGAUAGGAGCUCCUGCUGCAUGGGGGGGGGUGGAAAUUUUCGGCGGUUGGGGAUGGACUCGCGGCGUAUCAGCUUGUUGGUGGGGUAGUGGCUUACCAAGGCCUUGACGGGUAGCCGGCCUGAGAGGGUGACCGGCCACACUGGGACUGAGAUACGGCCCAGACUCCUACGGGAGGCAGCAGUGGGGAAUAUUGCACAAUGGGCGGAAGCCUGAUGCAGCGACGCCGCGUGCGGGAUGACGGCCUUCGGGUUGUAAACCGCUUUCGGCUGUGACGAAGCGUGAGUGACGGUACUGGGAGAAGAAGCACCGGCUAACUACGUG
rnacentral:rRNA from 1 species